rnacentral:tRNA from 1 species
UCCCAGGUGGCUCAUUGGUAAAGAAUCUGCCUACCAAUGCAGUAGAUGUGGGUUUGAUUCCUGGCCUGGGAA